rnacentral:lncRNA from 1 species
UACAUAAAGGUGCCAUGAUAUUCAAUCCCAGUUGAAUAUGAACCCUAUUUGUCUCUUUUGUCAUUUUCCAUCAGCUGGGGACCAUAUUUCCUGGGAACAUUUCUGUGCGUGACAUCUUUGUGUCAUCUCCAAGCCAGAUCUGUCAAGUGGGCUAUAAUCCUAGUGUGCGAAACACAGAGAAAGCUCAGGUACGUCACUGUCCAGUGCCUCAAUUUGAUUUUCCAUAACGAGGAUUGCAAUAUCCUCAGAGAAGCACCGUGCUGAUAGGGACAGCACUGAAGGGCUCCAGAUAACGUUGUUAUUCAACAGGACAGGCAGGAAACUGGCAGACAGGCUUUCAUCGUAAACCCUUUUGUCAGGUCGCAGACGAGGGGAAAGGUAAACUCAUGAACAAGUGGGAGAAUUGUAAUUAAGAGACCUUACAAGUUAGAACUAAAAUCAUAAAUAUGUGUUUGUUUCCAGGAAUCAAGAAAAAUGGAGUUCAACUCAACUUCUAACAAGUGUGUCAGCUGUUUGGUCUAUGUGAGUGUUAGUCCUGAGACUGAUGUUGGAGCGGCCCAGAAUGAUAUCUUUGGAAAGCUGAGUCUAGCCUUCACCUCUGGCCAAGUCACCCUUAUUGCAGACCCCAGCAGCCUCAGUGUACGCCCCAUAGGGGCUUUCCCCAACGCAACAGCUUCUCCUCCCACUGACACCAACACCACUGCUGGCUCACCAACCAGCACCAUUGCUGGCUUACCAACCAGAACCACUGCUGGCUUACCAACCAGAACCACUGCUGGCUCACCAUCCAGCACCACUGCUGGCUCACCAUCCAGCACCACUGCUGGCUCACCAACCAGCACCACUGUUGGCUCACCAACCAGCACCACUGCUGGCUCACCAACCAGCACCACUGCUGGCUCACCAACCAGAACCACUGCUGGCUCACCAACNCCAGCACCACUGCUGGCUCACCAACCAGCACCACUGCUGGCUCACCAACCAGAACCACUGCUGGCUCACCAACCAGCACCACUGCUGGCUUACCAACCAGAACCACUGCUGGCUCACCAACCAGCACCACUGCUGGCUCACCAACCAGCACCACUGCUGGCUCACCAACCAGAACUACUACUGGCUCACCAACCAGAACUACUACUGGCUCAACAACCAGAACUACUACCUGCUCACCAACCAGCACUACUGCAUCAGACCCUGGCUCUCCUUCAGAGACACACCAACCAUCCAUUGGAGUGCCUGCAAAUCCCACUGGCCUGUCUACAACCAGAGAAUCUUUAGACUUCAACUCAACAAAACCUGGCAUUGCAUCCACCUUCUACAGAGUUAAUAUGAAACUGAAUAUGACAACGACUGUAACUGGCAACGACCCAGGGGAGACCAUUCAGAAGUGGGUAAGAAACACAACAACAACAGCAUCGGCACUGGAGGAUGAUAAACGUACAACAACAUUCUCUUCAGCCUAACGGUCGACACAGUG